rnacentral:rRNA from 1 species
GACGAAGGGGGCUAGCGUUGUUCGGAAUUACUGGGCGUAAAGCGCGUGUAGGCGGUUGUCCAAGUUGGAUGUGAAAGCCUUGAGCUCAACUCAAGAAAUGCAUUCAGGACUGGAUGACUAGAGGACCGGAGAGGAUAGUGGAAUUCCCGAGUGAUAGUGGUGAAAUACGUAGAGAUUGGGAAGAACACCAGUGGCGAAGGCGGCGUAGUCUGGACGGUUUCU